rnacentral:rRNA from 1 species
AUUGAACGCUGGCGGCAGGCCUAACACAUGCAAGUCGAACGAGUGGCGGACGGGUGAGUAAUGUCUGGGAAACUGCCCGAUGGAGGGGGAUAACUACGGGAAACGGUAGCUAAUACCGAAUACCAUAGGCUGUGCCCAGAUGGGAUUAGCGAGGAGGUGGGGUAACGGCUCACCUAGGCGACGAUCCCUAGCUGGUUUGAGAGGAGGACCAGCCACACGUGAACUGAGCCACGGUCCACACUCCUACGGGAGUCAGCAGUUGGGAAUAUUGAACAAGGUUCGCAAGCCGGAGGCAGCCAUGCCGCGUGUAUGAAGAAGGCCUUCGGGUUGUAAAGUACUUUCAGCGAGGAGGCGUUACUCGCAGAAGAAGCACCGGCUAACUCCGUGCCAGCAGCCGCGGUAAUUC